rnacentral:rRNA from 1 species
GAGCUUGCUCUCUGGGUGGCGAGUGGCGGACCGGUGAGGAAUACAUCGGAAUCUACUCUGUCGUGGGGGAUAACGUAGGGAANNNNNCGCUAAUACCGCAUACGACCUACGGGUGAAAGCAGGGGACCUUNGGGCCUUGCGCGAUUGAAUGAGCCGAUGUCGGAUUAGCUAGUUGGCGGNNNAAAGNNNCACCAAGGCGACGAUCCGUAGCUGGUCUGAGAGGAUGAUCAGCCACACUGGAACUGAGACACGGUCCAGACUCCUACGGGAGGCAGCAGUGGGGAAUAUUGGACAAUGGGCGCAAGCCUGAUCCAGCCAUACCGCGUGGGUGAAGAAGGCCUUCGGGUUGUAAAGCCCUUUUGUUGGGAAAGAAAUCCAGCUGGCUAAUACCCGGUUGGGAUGACGGUACCCAAAGAAUAAGCACCGGCUAACUUCGUGCCAGCAGCCGCGGUAAUACGAAGGGUGCAAGCGUUACUCGGAAUUACUGGGCGU